AAAUAAUGUUAAAAUAGAGGUUAUUCUGAACUUAGAGUUAAAAUUUUCAAAGCAGUUCUAAACAUUUUAUUUAAAUUCAUACAGAUAUCAUAGGGAGCUUUUUUACGCGGUGUCCAAUCUGCAUUUUCGGUAAAUGCUCGAAACGAUACCAAUAGAUCAGGGAGCAGCCUAAUCGUAACAAUAUUUGUAGGCAGGUGGAGAAGAGACGAAAUUGAUAAAAUUUGGAAAUAUCUUUGGAUCCGGAGGUAGAAAGUUGAUUGGUAUCCCUCCUGGAGGUAUAAAUGAAGGAUUUACUUGACCAUUAAAUGGUACUACCGGUAUAGGAACAAAGUUGGGAGGUACUUUAAUAAACUGUACAGGACUGAGAGGUAUUUCUGGUGUUCUAAAAGCUCGAGGAACAAAUUCCUCGGCAUCAGGCUUUAAAUCAUAUUUUAAAGAUUUCUGUGCUUCUGCAUUACUUUUUACUUCGUCUGUAGAAGCGGUUACACUUGACGAAAUUGUUAUUUCCUCAUUUUCAACUUUUUCAAUUACAUCUUCAUUGAUUUUGCAACUUUCUUCUGCUUUCGUACACUCAGUGGCGUUUGAAAUGGGGACGGUUGUGGGUGAUUUUUCGUCGUCGUUAAUUUCUUCAUCUUCAUCACUACAUUCGGUGCUCCCUUGAGUAUUGUUUUGAGACCUCGAAGUCUUUCGACGUCUGCGUUUCUUUAUUUUUCUAGUUUGUUCAGUAGGAUAAUCGCCUACCUCCACUUCUGAAACAAAUAAAGUGAAUUUGAUAUAAAUUAAAAUUUUUUCAGUACAUUCCAUAAAUUAUAUAACAGUUUAAGAUAUUGUAGUAUAAAUGUAACUUUAAUAUAGACAUACCUUGAGGCGGACAUAUUCCAUUUAAGUAAUACCCUGGGUAUACCAUGUUAAAAACGUUAUGGCCAUUGUAAUCAGAAACAUUAUUUGUUUCUCCACCACUUAAAUCUUGACUGGUUGCUUCUUCGUUGUUCGGACUAGUCGAUUCCGUCUGCAACAAUAAGUAAUUUUUUUUUUAUGAAUCGAGAACGAAUUAAAACGAUGUUCUGACGAAAUGAAAAGUUAGGUUAUGUGAAAAAUUUGGAAAGUAAAUGUAUAUACACGCUCCUGUUUGAUGUCUUCAAAAGAAUCUUAUGAUGAAGUUGAAUCAAAAAGAUUUAUUUAUAUUAAAUAGUCACAUGCACAUAAGUAAACAAUUAAUAAUUAUUUGACAUUCUAUUUUUGUCAAACGAACAAAAAUGAUGAUUUUAUACUGUUUCAAACAGUUCUUAAGAAUUUGUAUGAAAGUUACACACAAAGUACCCCAAACUUAACUCGAAACGCUUGUAGCAAGGUCCAUGGGUUGUUGGCCUCAUAUAGUAGACAAAGUACGUUUGUAAAAAUUUGCACGAGUCAGUGAUAAGUCUCAACAAGCUCAGACAAAGCUUCAACUUGCUAUGUCGAUCGAUAAUUUUAUCAUAGGAGCGCUCGAAGCUCAAGUUGUUUUGAAAAAUGUCUAACAUUGAGUUUCAUGUUAUAAAAUUUUUGAAAAAGACCAAUACAAAUCAAAAAAAGAAUGGAGACUUGUAUCCAUCAUUUUAAACAAUUUCAAAUUGGUUCUAAGUUGUUUUGGUGGGGACGAGAACCAUUAGGAUCAUAGGAGUGCCAAAAAAAAAUAACGCUGCUUCGCUUUACAAGGCCACUGAACACGAAUGUGUCUUCACAAAGAUUAAACACCCACCAUAUAGCCCUUAUCUAACCACGUUCGACUAUUUUUUGUUUGCAAAGCUGAAAGAAGAGUUGACGAGCAAAAUAUUUAACAGCGGUGACUAAAUUAACAGGCGACGUGCGAACGCUUUAGUCUACACCCUAUUCGUGAUAAUUUUGUCCACGCUUUAACGUCACAUAUCAAAAUCACGUGACAAACGCAUACAUAUGUGAUUGGCUCUUUUCUAAAUCUACGAAAGUCGCUACGAACCUACGAACCACCAAAGGGAAAAAAUAAAAUUCGUUUAUGAAAGUCACCAAUGGCAGACGGCAACGACAAACGGCAACUAUGAAUGGUUUUAUGUCAACGUCAACGAUAAUACGAAAGUUUAUGAAUCGGUAUUUAGUGUCAAUAGUAAAUCUAGCAAAUAUUAACCUCUUUUUUUCUUAUUUCUGCACUUUUUGAAACAUUUAUGAAGAGCUCUCGGUAUAAUGAAUGACUUACUUUUCCACAUCGCCACUGUACAACUUUUGCAAAAGAAUCCAUCAAUUUUUUCGCUUUCUAUUAACUUCAUAAGAACCGAUUCGAGAUUAUUCAACUUUGACAGAACGCCAGUGUAAUUUAUCGUCACGUGACGGUGUGAAACGUUUCAGAGCGUCAAAGGCAAGCAUAAGACCCUUUCACACUCGAGUGGUGCCUGCUGUGUGGAGAUCCCUGUGGUUAUUGAUCUUGAACAUCUGUAGUUUGUAAUGUUCUGGAAUUACGUGCCUUGAGAGCCGAUUCCACAGGCUCCAAAGACAUGAGCCCCAAUAAAUUGAAGUUCUGAGCGUCUGCAGAUGAACUCGGUGUUCAUGAACCACGUCUGCCGGUCGAGUAGCUCUUGCAAAAACUGUUCUAGGCGAGAUUAUGUUGGAUAGCUCGGAAGAGCAUUUGCUGUGGUAGUAUCGGCGACAUUUCUUCUAUGCUCUGAGCUGUCCAAGUUUGUGGUCAACUCUGGAUCGCCUAUAGGUCGACUUGCUCUCUUCUGUUUUGAGUCUAACAUCCUCAUGGUGUGCUUGGGAGUUGAGUUCCAACUGUGCGAGCAAUACUCAUGAUAUGGGCGAAUCUGGACCUUGUAGAGGAUUAGAAGCUGUUGCGGUGGAUAAAGCUUUUUGGUGCUUUUUGGCUGCAAGUUUCUCGAAAACUAUUUUAAAUAAAAUAAAA